AGGAGCUAUCUGGAUGCUAGAAUGGCAACUGUUGUUGUAAGCAACUCAAUGAGAGGUAGGUGAUCAUCCCAAUUACCCUUGAAAUCAAUCACACAAUCCACCUUGAUACCUCAAAACACUAUCUCCCCCUUGUUCAAAAGCCAUCACUUUUUGCUUAUGAACACUUGCCUUUAAUUCAAGCAAUAAAGGAUCUUGGUCUUGCUUAUCUUUUA
rnacentral:lncRNA from 1 species